GUACAGUUGCAGCCUCGUCCAGUACAGUCUCACUGACAUCUGUCUCACACACCAACAACCUAACUACACCACUUCAAGAUGUCUCCACCGUCCUGCCUCUCACUGCUGACAGUAACACUAAUCGCCUUUCUUCCAAAUGGAGCAGUAGUCCACUGACUGGUGGCAGCAUCUUUGGUAUCACUCUGGCUGUGGUGUUGGUGGCAGCCAUUUUUGGAUACACAGCUUACACCUACUUGAAGAAGAAACCAAAACUUGCUGGAUACGGCAGCACUCUCCACUUCCAGAAUGCUCUGUAUUCCACUAGAGAAAACAUAAGCAUCACAGAGCCACUGGGUGCCGAGGCCACCAUUGAUAUAGAAGACGGUAGUGUUCGUACACAUGAAUAAGAAGCAAGCCAACAGUGUCCAGUUAUCAUUCCAUCAGAUUUUUGUUUACAAAUACUUUAAUGGAUAUAGAAAAAAGUAAUGAUUUAACACAAUAUGCAAUAAAAUGUGAACUAAUUUUAGGUGAUUAAAUUUAAUAUAAAGUGGAUGGUCCUUGGAUAUAGUAAAAGUUAUGACUUGUAAAGGAGUAAUUUCUACUUAACCUUUUAAGAGGGUAACUUAUUGUUUGAGAGCAAAAGAGGAAGAACUUAAUGGAUUCAAGAUGCACUGAAACUGACACUAGUCACUUACAGCUGCUCAAAGUUUUUCUUCACAAUUAGAGGUAAAUCAUUACCGUGGUUAACAAGAGGUAACUAGAGUCUUUUAUGAAGACCGUCUACCAAAUUAUGUUCAGGAUGCAAUGCUGCAUCACCCUUAUGGGUUUAGAAUUUAAUUUGAUUACAGUUUAAAUUUCAUUCAGGGAGCUCUCUGACCCAUACAUAUGGAAGACACUUGUGAACGUUUAGUCCCCUCAAGGGAGGUUCCUUGAUGCUGGCGAGGGGCUCUUGAUCCAAGGAAUUGAAUCUGCUCAAGUUCCCUGAAUUGAGUCUGAAUACCUUCCGACUCAAUUCAGGGAUCUGGAGCACAGAUCCAAUUCCCUAGAUCAAGAGCCCCUCACCAUCAUCAAGGAACCUUCCCAGAAAGUGUGUUAACUUGGUAGAGGGUCACACAAGGUAUGGAGAAUGGGUGGUAAUCAGCUUUGGUCUGAGGAAUGGGAGUAUAGCUCCCAUUCCUUACAUCAAAAUACCUUUUACCAGCAUAAAGUUGCCUCCUCUACCUUUGAAGGCAACAGUGGCAGCUGUAACUGCUCCUGCUGUGCCCCUUCCACCCCAGCUGUAACUGCUCUUUUCCCUCCCCAGCUACUGUUGCUUGUUUAUUAUUUUAAGAAGGAUAAUGUAACUCAAGCAUACAAAUAACAUUUAAUAAAGAUCUGCUGAAACAUCUUUAUUUUCCUAUGCUAUCAGUGCAGGCAGUUAAGUGUCUUUUCUAAAUUUUUGAUACAACUGCUUUCAUAGCUAUUUUCUCACCUUAUGAACAAGCCUCCAACCUACAGUCUCAGAGCUGACUGGUUCAUCACUCGCUACCAGACUGUAGCCUACUGUCCAGUAGUCGGUGAUGCAUCAGUGAAUUGGAGAAUGCUGGUUCAAGGUUUAUCUGUGCCUUGAAAAA